AGUCACAGCUGUGAGUGAUCUGUCCAGGUUUGGCGUUAUAGUGAGAGAAUUUCUGAUUGUUAGAAAUAGCAAGAAUUCUAGAAGCGUUUGGACGCUACAUUGGCCUUGAACAAGAUGCCAGUCAGUCCACCGUUGCCUUUGGCGGGUAUGCUCAGAACGCUGUAGAUGGAGACACUGACGGUGAUGACUACCACUAUUCGUGUACCCACACCACAGUCAAUGAAGACUUCUCGUGGUGGGAAGUAAGUCUGAAAACGCCAGUGAUACCUUCCACCUACAAGCUGUUUAACAGGAACCAACAGCAGCAACAGUCAAGACUGUGGAUCGAGUAGGGAGGCAACGAAGCUCUCGUCCAAAAUCAACAAAGGCAGCACAGCAUUAGAGUGGAUUGUGGGACCUAUAAACUAUAAAGGAGACAAAUGCUUUUUCCAAUC